CCGGAAGGGGGCCCGUCUAGACGUGAUAGUCGAGGGGUAGAGGAAGCUUGCUUCCUUGAGACCGGCGCACGGGUGCGUAACGCGUAUGCAAUCUGCCUUGUACUGGGGGAUAGCCCCGGAGAAAUCCAGGAUUAAUACCCCAUAGUAUAUUGAAAUGGCAUCAUUUCUAUAUUAAAGAAUUUCGGUACAAGAUGAGCAUGCGUCCCAUUAGCUAGUUGGUAUGGUAACGGCAUACCAAGGCUUUGAUGGGUAGGGGUCCUGAGAGGGAGAUCCCCCACACUGGUACUGAGACACGGACCAGACUCCUACGGGAGGCAGCAGUGAGGAAUAUUGGUCAAUGGGCGCAAGCCUGAACCAGCCAUGCCGCGUGCAGGAUGACGGUCCUAUGGAUUGUAAACUGCUUUUGUACGGGAAGAAACACUCCUACGUGUAGAGGGCUGACGGUACCGUAAGAAUAAGGAUCGGCUAACUCCGUGCCAGCAGCCGCGGUAAUACGGAGGAUCCAAGCGUUAUCCGGAAUCAUUGGGUUUAAAGGGUCCGUAGGCGGCUUUAUAAGUCAGUGGUGAAAUCCGGCAGCUCAACUGUCGAACUGCCAUUGAUACUGUAAAGCUUGAAUUAUUAUGAAGUAACUAGAAUAUGUAGUGUAGCGGUGAAAUGCUUAGAGAUUACAUGGAAUACCAAUUGCGAAGGCAGGUUACUAAUAAUAUAUUGACGCUGAUGGAC
rnacentral:rRNA from 1 species